rnacentral:rRNA from 1 species
GAUGAACGCUGGCGGCGUGCCUAAUACAUGCAAGUCGAGCGAAUGGAUUGAGAGCUUGCUCUUAUGAAGUUAGCGGCGGACGGGUGAGUAACACGUGGGUAACCUGCCCAUAAGACUGGGAUAACUCCGGGAAACCGGGGCUAAUACCGGAUAACAUUUAGAACCGCAUGGUUCGAAAUUGAAAGGCGGCUUCGGCUGUCACUUAUGGAUGGACCCGCGUCGCAUUAGCUAGUUGGUGAGGUAACGGCUCACCAAGGCAACGAUGCGUAGCCGACCUGAGAGGGUGAUCGGCCACACUGGGACUGAGACACGGCCCAGACUCCUACGGGAGGCAGCAGUAGGGAAUCUUCCGCAAUGGACGAAAGUCUGACGGAGCAACGCCGCGUGAGUGAUGAAGGCUUUCGGGUCGUAAAACUCUGUUGUUAGGGAAGAACAAGUGCUAGUUAAAUAAGCUGGCACCUUGACGGUACCUAACCAGAAAGCCACGGCUAACUACGUGCCAGCCGCCGCAGUAA